rnacentral:rRNA from 1 species
CUCUGCGCAAGGGAUCUUUUGGUUCGCUAGACGAAGAAGGGCGCAGCGGAAUGCGAAAUGUGCAGGAGCAGCAGCGAAGAUAGCACAUGCCUGAAAUCACGAGAGUGAGACUACCCCUUUGAAUUAAGCAUAUGAGUAAAGGGAGGAAAAGAAACUAACAAGGAUUCCUGUAGUAGCGGCGAGCGAAGAAGGAACAGCCCCGAGUGUAAUCACCUAUAAUUAAUAUAGAGUGAGAUGUCAUUAAUCUAUAGAACGAUGUUGAAACUUCGGCCUGAGAGGGUGAUAGCCCCGUAAAAUAGAUGUAACAAGGGAGUAGCAGUGUUUGGUAUUGCACUGUGAAAGGGUGGCAGCGCCCAUCCAAGGCUAAAUACAAAGCGAGACCGAUAGUGAAUAAGUAGAGCGAUCGAAAAACGAAUAGACUGAAAAAGUGAAAUUGCGUAGGGAGCCUAGAGGCUAGGCCCCGUCUUGAAACACGGACC